AGGGGCAGCAUGGUCUUAGCUUGCUAAGACUGAUGGCGACCGGCGCACGGGUGCGUAACGCGUAUGCAACUUGCCUCACAGAGGGGGAUAACCCGUCGAAAGACGGACUAAUACCGCGUACACUUACGGUAGGGCAUCCUAUUGUAAGGAAAUGAAUUUCGCUGUGAGAUAGGCAUGCGUCCCAUUAGCUAGUUGGUGAGGUAACGGCUCACCAAGGCGACGAUGGGUAGGGGAACUGAGAGGUUGAACCCCCACACUGGUACUGAGACACGGACCAGACUCCUACGGGAGGCAGCAGUGAGGAAUAUUGGUCAAUGGGCGAGAGCCUGAACCAGCCAAGUCGCGUGAAGGAUGACUGUCUUAUGGAUUGUAAACUUCUUUUAUACGGGAAUAAUAAGAGUCACGAGUGACUCCCUGCAUGUACCGUAUGAAUAAGCAUCGGCUAACUCCGUGCCAGCAGCCGCGGUAAUACGAAGGAUGCGAGCGUUAUCCGGAUUUAUUGGGUUUAAAGGGUGCGUAGGCGGCCUGUUAAGUCAGCGGUGAAAUCUAGGAGCUUAACUCCUAAAUUGCCAUUGAAACUGGCGGGCUUGAGUGUAGAUGAGGUAGGCGGAAUGCGUGGUGUAGCGGUGGAAUGCAUAGAUAUCACGCAGAACUCCGAUUGCGAAGGCAGCUUACUAAGGUACAACUGACGCUGAAGCACGAAAGCGUGGGUAUCAAACAGGAUUAGAUACCCUGGUAGUCCACGCAGUAAACGAUGAUAACUGGGCGUAUGCGAUAUACAGUAUGCUCCUAAGCGAAAGCGUUAAGUUAUCCACCUGGGGAGUACGCCGGCAACGGUGAAACUCAAAGGAAUUGACGGGGGCCCGCACAAGCGGAGGAACAUGUGGUUUAAUUCGAUGAUACGCGAGGAA
rnacentral:rRNA from 1 species